rnacentral:lncRNA from 1 species
AUGGCAGAGACAAGUCUGGGUGCAUCCAGUGCAUUGAAGACGGUCCUCAGAAGUGCGGCGGCCGGCUUCGUGUUUGGAGAAGCGGCUCUGUUUGCAGUUGGACCCAGUCUGACUGAAGAUGGCGCCCUGCAAACCGCUGCAGUCCUGGCAGCUGCUCAGACUGGUUCCACAGGUGUUGGGGUGGUGACGGCGUGCCUCGUGUUCACGUCCGUACUCAUAUCUCUUGGAAAUGGCUUCAUUAUUUCUGCCCUGGUGAUGUCGCUGUGGGCCAGAGCUGGGCUGAGGGUGCCGUGGUUAACGGACAUCACAGCAGGAGUCUUUGUUGUGCUGGGUGCUGUCUCUACAGGAGUGCUGGCAGGACUUCUUCCAACAUGGAUCUACAUCGCAGCUGAAAUCACUCUGGUCCUUUUUGUCUACUCUCAAUCUAAUAUAAACGACAUGACCACCGCUCUGUUAAUCAUCUUCACCACUCUGUAUAUCACUGUAGUGUAUGGACGGAUGGGGGCUAUUUUGGGGUUUCUCUGCAUCGGACUCUCCAUUUUUGUCCUCUUUUAUCUUCGAAGGACUCUGACACAGAGUGGGAGCCAAAGACCAAAAACUGAAUGUAAAUUGCUGGAGAGGAUUUUCUUCUACUCUGUUUUUGUGGGGAUUCUUGGUUUCUUCGUCGGCCUGGGUGCAGGUGAAACAGACGAGGGGUCCAAGGCAGAGGUUGCUUUGAUGCUGCAGUCAGUCGUCUGGGUGGCGUUUCUUUCUGCAGGGCUGCUUGGCGCCGGUCUGGGAACUGUGGGAAUGGUCGGACUGGGGCAAGAGGGGGCUGGAAGAGCAACUCUGGGUGCGGCUGUGACACUGCCAGCGGCCUUAGGAGCCAUUUUGCUGUGGAGCUCCUCUCUAGGGGUUCGGAGCUGCACAGGAGGAACACUUGGGGCGACUGCAGCUGCUGGCGUGUCACUUGGAGCAGCGAGUGUGGCAGCAAAACACAUGUUUGACUCUAGAAACUCAACUUUAUCAGUUUUAGGUUCGGUGGCUGUCGGCGUAUUUGUAGCCGUGAAGGCCGUGCCUUUUAAACCAACGCUGCUGACGAUGCCAGAACUCUUCACAGUCGUCCUUGUCGCAGUGGGGGCGUUUGUUUUGGGUGCACCAAAGAGUCCAUUCAACACUCCAGUGAAUCUGCGGCAGGGCCUUCUCACGGGGACGGAGCUAAUUAAAGGAAUUGGCAUGGAGACCGUCACCGCAGCAGCAGCACCUAUUGGCGCCGGGGCACUCGGGGCCGCGGCGUUAGGCACCGCGGCUCUGGGGAGACUGGGGACUGUGGGAGUUCUGGUGGCGAUACUGCUGGCUCUUGGAAGUGCUUUAAGUGGUUGGAUUGGAAAAUCACCAACAACAAAUCAACACAGAGACUGAGUUUCCAUCUGUCUGUCCUGCUGGUCAUGUAGGAAGUAUACAGGAAAUCUCACAAAAUGUAUAAAUGAAACUUAGACUUGAUUGAAUGUGAAAAUAUGAGAGGAUAUAACAAUGUGAUGUCCCAGAAAUGCAUAAAAACUGAAGUGUUUGUGGCUAAGAUUUUUGUUAAAAAAUAAUUUUAAGCUUUUUUAUCUGAGAAUGUGAUGGAUUCACCCACUGAAACUCUCAUGCCUUGACAGUCGUCUUGAAAUCAUGAAAUAAAAUUGUUUUGAGC